AAUACAUGCAAGUCGAGCGGAUGACGAGAGCUUGCUCUCUGAUUUUAGCGGCGGACGGGUGAGUAACACGUGGCAACCUGCCCUACAGAUGGGGAUAACUCCGGGAAACCGGGGCUAAUACCGAAUAAUCAGUUUAUCCGCAUGGACAAACUCUGAAAGACGGUUUCGGCUGUCACUGUAGGAUGGGCCCGCGGCGCAUUAGCUAGUUGGUGGGGUAAUGGCCUACCAAGGCAACGAUGCGUAGCCGACCUGAGAGGGUGAUCGGCCACACUGGGACUGAGACACGGCCCAGACUCCUACGGGAGGCAGCAGUAGGGAAUCUUCCACAAUGGACGAAAGUCUGAUGGAGCAAUGCCGCGUGAGCGAAGAAGGUUUUCGGAUCGUAAAGCUCUGUUGUAAGGGAAGAACACGUACGGGAGUAACUGCCCGUGCCAUGACGGUACCUUAUUAGAAAGC
rnacentral:rRNA from 1 species